UCCCAGAAUGUUCUUCUGAAAGGUAGGAUAACGUUCUCUAAAAACAUUGUUAACAUUUUUGGUGAUAACUUUCUUAAGAUGUAUGAGCGCAUUGAGACAAUGAAUAGGACGUAUAAAAACGAAUUUAUGCAUGCCAAUAUUCAUUCACAUGCACUUAUAAUCACACUAAGGUAUGUAGGCCCACAGUAUUCAUAAUAUAAUAGUGUAAAAUAUCCGAAAAUAAUCACACUUUUUUCUGACUAUAAAGGUUGCGUCUCGUAUGUAGGUUCUAACUGUUAGAUAAGCUAUCUGGCCGUGUGUGGUUUGUGAGGGCUGCGUAUAAACAGUGUCUGCUGUUUAUGCAUAUUGGAUAAAAAUCGUUAUUGCACCCUUUAGAUUUGAGACCGACAGACAUAUAGAGUCCCCCCCCUGCCUGCUGGUCUGCUCGACACGGCUGGGAGCAAUCUCCAAUAAACUACACCUGCAACCUGCUCAUCAGCCACACUAUGAAAAUCUGCAGCCUGCACUUAUUCCCUGCCGGAUUGUUGCCGUGAACGGAGGAAUCCAAGGCCUUCCACACUCCCAAGACCAGCCAGGCCUCUCUACCCACCCUGGAACAACUGUUUCCCACUGCUGCCAUUACCAACCUCCACUCCCUGCUCCCCUUUUAUAAUAUACAAAUGUUACUUUCA